UACGUAGGGGGCUAGCGUUGUCCGGAAUCAUUGGGCGUAAAGCGCGCGUAGGCGGCCUGCUAAGUCGGACGUGAAAUCCCUCGGCUCAACCGGGGAACUGCGUCCGAUACUGGUGGGCUCGAAUCCGGGAGAGGGAUGUGGAAUUCCAGGUGUAGCGGUGAAAUGCGUAGAUAUCUGGAGGAACACCGGUGGCGAAGGCGGCAUCCUGGACCGGUAUUGACGCUGAGUGCGCGAAAGCCAGGGGAGCAACGGG
rnacentral:rRNA from 1 species